CACGUAGGGGGCGAGCGUUGUCCGGAUUUAUUGGGCGUAAAGAGCUCGUAGGCGGCUCACUAAGUCGGGUGUGAAAUUUCGAGGCUCAACCUCGAAACGCCACCCGAUACUGGUGUGGCUAGAGUCCGGUAGGGGAGCGUGGAAUUCCUGGUGUAGCGGUGAAAUGCGCAGAUAUCAGGAGGAACACCAGCGGCGAAGGCGGCGCUCUGGGCCGGUACUGACGCUGAGGAGCGAAAGCGUGGGGAUCAAACAGG
rnacentral:rRNA from 1 species